UACGUAGGGUGCAAGCGUUAAUCGGAAUUACUGGGCGUAAAGGGCGCGUAGGCGGCCUGCUAAGUCGAACGUGAAAUCCCUGGGCUCAACCCAGGAACUGCGUCCGAUACUGGUUGGCUUGAAUCCGGGAGAGGGAUGUGGAAUUCCAGGUGUAGCGGUGAAAUGCGUAGAUAUCUGGAGGAACACCGGUGGCGAAGGCGACUACCUGGCCCAUUCU
rnacentral:rRNA from 1 species